UACGUAGGUGGCAAGCGUUGUCCGGAAUUAUUGGGCGUAAAGCGCGCGCAGGUGGUUUCUUAAGUCUGAUGUGAAAGCCCACGGCUCAACCGUGGAGGGUCAUUGGAAACUGGGGAACUUGAGUGCAGGAGAGAAGAGUGGAAUUCCACGUGUAGCGGUGAAAUGCGUAGAGAUGUGGAGGAACACCAGUGGCGAAGGCGACUCUUUGGCCUGUAACUGACACUGAGGCGCGAAAGCGUGGGGAG
rnacentral:rRNA from 1 species